rnacentral:miRNA from 1 species
UACUCCCUCCGUCCCAUAAUAUUAAAACCUAGGACUGGAUGAGACGUUUCGCAGUACAACGAAUAUGGACAGAUGCAUAUCCAGAUUUAUUGUGCUAUAAAACAUCCCAUCCAGUCCUAGGUUGUAAUAUUAUGGGACGGAGGGAGUA